rnacentral:sRNA from 1 species
UGAUUUCGCGCUCUGGUUCAUGCGGUUUGUGAAUUCUGUACGCUGUGAAUGAUUCGCAGGAAGUUGGAGGUUGAAGAGAUGGAAUCGGCGAAGAAAUUCUUGGAGGGGAGGGAGGUUGAUGACGAACGAGCCGAGUUCUUGAAAACAGGUGAGUUUUAUACAGUCUUAACUGACUGAGUUUGAGCUUGAGACGUAAUGCAGCUAAUUGACUGAACCUAUACUUUCCUGACAUUUGCCUGACCACCUCAUUCACAUUUUUGGAGCAUCAACAAUUAGUCUUGUUCAUCCUUUUUAUCAAUUCAUUAACCCUGAAUUAACAAUCAGUGCCUCUGGGAAGUGGUGUUAAAAGUUGCUCUCAUACAUGCCAUGUAAAUUAUCCACCUCAACAGCUCAAUCCUAUUGUUCAAGCCAUGUAUGACUCUAGUAAUAAGAUGGGUUUUAGCUUAUUCAGUGGCUCAGUUCUAGUAGAAAAACUGCAAUUCCAUUUGAGAAAAUCACUAAGCACGCUCAUCUGAUUAUAUUGGUGCUCUGG